rnacentral:rRNA from 1 species
CUGAGAGGAGACCAUGGCCGUCUUUAUAGAAGCAAGGGCCCUCGGGUUGUUUAAAUAAUUUUUAAGGGGGGAAAUAGGAGUUGAGUUUAUUACCUUCAGCCAAUGAAGUUCUCCCCAUAGGAUCACCAAUCUCACUGCCUGCCCACAGCAUCGGGUAAUUCGGAGAGGGCCAAGCGUUAUUCUGAAAUUAGGGGGGGGAAAACCCCAGCAGGGCGGUCGGUCAACUUGGAUGUGAAAUCCCCCGGGCUUUACCUAGGGACGGCCCUCGGAACUAACAGGAUAGAAUCUUGUAGAGAGCGGGAGGAAUUCCACGGGUAGCGGUGACAUGCGUAGAGAUCUGGAGGAAUACCGCGUGGCGAAGGCGGCCCCCUUGACAAAGACUGAUCCUCAGGUGCGAAAGUGUGGCGACCGCACCAGGAUUAGAUACCCUGGUAGUUCACGCCGUAAACGAUGUCGACUUGGAGGUUGUUCCCUUGAGGAGUGGCUUCCGGAGCUAACGCGUUAAGUCGACCGCCUGGGGAGUACGGCCGCAGGGUUAAAACUCAAAUGAAUUGACGGGGGCCCGCACAAGCGGUGGAGCAUGUGGUUUAAUUCGAUGCAACGCGAAGAACCUUACCUACUCUUGACAUCCAGAGAACUUAGCAGAGAUGCUUUGGUGCCUUCGGGAACUCUGAGACAGGUGCUGCAUGGCUGUCGUCAGCUCGUGUUGUGAAAUGUUGGGUUAAGUCCCGCAACGAGCGCAACCCUUAUCCUUUGUUGCCAGCGGUUCGGCCGGGAACUCAAAGGAGACUGCCAGUGAUAAACUGGAGGAAGGUGGGGAUGACGUCAAGUCAUCAUGGCCCUUACGAGUAGGGCUACACACGUGCUACAAUGGCGCAUACAAAGAGAAGCGACCUCGCGAGAGCAAGCGGACCUCAUAAAGUGCGUCGUAGUCCGGAUCGGAGUCUGCAACUCGACUCCGUGAAGUCGGAAUCGCUAGUAAUCGUAGAUCAGAAUGCUACGGGGAAUACGUUCCCGGGCCUCGUACACACCGCCCGUCACAACGAUGGGAGUGGAUUGCAAAAGAAGUAGGUAGCUUAACCUUCGGGAGGGCGCUUACCACUUUUGGAAUACAAAGGGGC